rnacentral:rRNA from 1 species
ACGAACGCUGGCGGCGUGCUUCACACAUGCAAGUCGUACGGUAAGGCCCUUUCGGGGGUCCCCGAGUGGCGAACGGGUGAGUAACACGUGAGUAACCUGCCCACAACUUUGGGAUAACGCUAGGAAACUGGUGCUAAUACUGGAUAUGUGCUCCUGCUGCAUGGUGGGGGUUGGAAAGCUCCGGCGGUUGUGGAUGGACUCGCGGCCUAUCAGCUUGUUGGUGGGGUAGUGGCCUACCAAGGCGGCGACGGGUAGCCGGCCUGAGAGGGUGACCGGCCACAUUGGGACUGAGAUACGGCCCAGACUCCUACGGGAGGCAGCAGUGGGGAAUAUUGCACAAUGGGCGCAAGCCUGAUGCAGCAACGCCGCGUGCGGGAUGACGGCCUUCGGGCUGUAAACCGCUUUCAGCAGGGACGAAGCUUUUUGUGACGGUACCUGCAGAAGAAGCACCGGCUAACUACGUG